AGAACAAUGCGGGAGUUGCAGAGAGAGGUGUCCUGUGUUUGUUCCCAGUCUUCCUUCACUCACCUGCACCUGCUCCUGCCCUGCUUCGGCCAACAUGUUCUAUGCAGGUAGGUAAAAAAGUUGGAAAUUUCAUUUCUCUCCCUGUGUCUCUAAGAUGACAUCUAUCAAACCUCUGAUUCUCUUUUGGUUCUUUACAGAAACCCCACUUGAAAUUUUCAGGUAGGAUGGGGAGAAGGGCAAACCUAUUGUUUCCUUCAAACCUAGUAAUAUCUAACUGAACCCUCUCUAUCGGCAGGGUGGUUUUGCUGAUGAGACAGCUGCAGUUUGGGGAGUGUGAUAUCAAGGAAAGCAGUGUCUUGAGUCUGUCACUUUCUCUCUCUGUCCCAUUGGGCAUUAUAGUAUACAUAGCCUUGGAAUCAGAAGACCAAGAACAUACAAGAGAACAUAGCCUUGGAAUCAGAAGACCAAGAAACAAUUUAACUCUGCCCCUCUAGAGCUCUGAGAACUUGGGCAAGCCUUUUACCCUCUUGAAUUUUUGCCACCUUCAAUGAGAAAGACUGAAACAAAAAACUCAGAAGAAAGAAAGAGACUGAGAUAGCAAAUAUGACAAACUGUUAAAAAUUCAUGAAUCUGUUAUGGAAUACUAUGCAGCCAUAAAAAAGGAUGAGUUCCUGUCCUUUGCAAGGACGUGUAUGAAGCUGGAAACCAUCAUUCUGAGCAAACUAAAACAGGAACAGAAAACCAAACACCACAUGUUCUCACUCAUAAGUGGGAGUUGAACAAUGAGAACACAUGGACACGGCGGGGUGGUGGGAACAUCACACACCGGGGCCUGUCAGAGGGGAGGGGGCUAGGGGAGAGAUAGCAUUAGGAGAAAUACCUAAUGUAGAUGAUGGGUUGAUGGGUGCAGCAAACCACCAUGGCAUGUGUAUACCUAUGUAACAAACCUGCAUGUUCUGCACAUGUAUCCCAGAACUUAAAGUAUAAUAAUAAAAAGAGAGAUUAAAAAAAUUGGUGAAUCUGGGCAAAAUGUACACAGGAUUUUUCUGUACUGUUCUUGCAACUUUUCUACAGAUUUGAAAUGUUACAAAAUAAA
rnacentral:lncRNA from 1 species